GUUGAUUUGAUUCUCUAAUCCCUGACUAGUUUGUUUGGCCAGUUUAUCGUAAAUUAUCAUAUGAAUAAAUUAGACUGUAAUUUAUCCGAAUUCAAGGAGCUCUAUUCUUGCUGUUGAGUGGGUAUUUUCUAAGAGAAAGUCUUAAGGAAAGAAAAAGAAUUAGCCUACGAAUAAGCAGAAGAAGGAGAGCAAACCUAAGGAGGACACUUCGAAGAAAGCUGUGGAGAAGGAAAAGUAUUUCCACUAUAACUUGAAUGGCC
rnacentral:lncRNA from 1 species